UUCAUUGUAGUAUAUUGGUGAGUAUUCUCUCUUGUCACAUGAGUGACCCAGGUUCAAACCCUGACAAUGACA
rnacentral:tRNA from 1 species